CAGAAGAAGAACCGGCUAACUCCGUGCCAGCAGCCCCGGUAAUACGGAGGGGCGAGCUUAUCGAAUUACCGGGCGUAAACCGCACGCACCGCUUUUUGUUCRGCUAGAUGUAAACCCCGGGCUCAACCUGGGAUGGUCWUUUAGAACUGGCAGACUAGAGUCUUGGAGAGGGGAGUGGAAUUCCAGGUGUAGCGAURAAAUGCUGUAGAUAUCUGGAGGAACAUCAGUGGCGAAGGCGACUCCCUGGCCAAAGACUGACGCUCAUGUGAGAAAGUGUGGGUAGCGAACAGGAUUAGAUACCCUGGUAGUCACACCGUAAACGCUGUCUACUAGAUGUGUGUGCCUUUAAGGCGUGCGUAGCGAAGCUAACGCGCUAAGUAGAACCGCCUGGGGAGUACGGCCGCAAGGUUAAAACUCAAAUGAAUUGACGGGGGCCCGCACAAGCGGUGGAGCAUGUGGUUUAAUUCGAUGCAACGCGAAGAACCUUACCUACACUUGACAUGCUGAGAAAUUUCUAGAGAUAGUUCGGUGCCUUCGGGAACUCAGACACAGGUGCUGCAUGGCUGUCGUCAGCUCGUGUCGUGAGAUGUUGGGUUAAGUCCCGCAACGAGCGCAACCCUUGUCCUUAGUUGCCAGCCUUAAGUUGGGCACUCUAAGGAGAC
rnacentral:rRNA from 1 species